CCCUUAGAUGUUCUGGGCUGCACGCGCGCUACACUGCUGCAAUUAACGGGUUUUCUGUGCCGAAAGGCUUGGGGAAUCCUUUGAAUAUGCGGCGUGAUGGGGAUAGAAUAUUGUAAUUAUUACUCUUCAACGAGGAAUUCCUAGUAAGCGCGGGUCAGCAGCCCGCGCUGAUUACGUCCCUGCCCUUUGUACACACCGCCCGUCGCUACUACCGAUUGAAUGGUUUAGUGAGGCCUCGGGACUGGCGCGCUCGAGUAGCAAUACACCUGCGCGCCGGGAACUUGGUCAAACUUGAUCAUUUAGAGGAAGUAAAAGUCGUANCA
rnacentral:rRNA from 1 species